rnacentral:rRNA from 1 species
CCCUUCAGUGCUGCAGCUAACGCAUUAAGCAUUCCGCCUGGGGAGUACGGCCGCAAGGCUGAAACUCAAAGGAAUUGACGGGGGCCCGCACAAGCGGUGGAGCAUGUGGUUUAAUUCGAAGCUACGCGAAGAACCUUACCAGGUCUUGACAUACUAUGCAAAUCUAAGAGAUUAGACGUUCCCUUCGGGGACAUGGAUACAGGUGGUGCAUGGUUGUCGUCAGCUCGUGUCGUGAGAUGUUGGGUUAAGUCCCGCAACGAGCGCAACCCUUAUUAUCAGUUGCCAGCAUUAAGUUGGGCACUCUGGUGAGACUGCCGGUGACAAACCGGAGGAAGGUGGGGAUGACGUCAAAUCAUCAUGCCSCUUAUGACCUGGGCUACACACGUGCUACAAUGGAUGGUACAACGAGUUGCGAACUCGCGAGAGUAAGCUAAUCUCUUAAAGCCAUUCUCAGUUCGGAUUGUAGGCUGCAACUCGCCUACAUGAAGUCGGAAUCGCUAGUAAUCGCGGAUCAGCAUGCCGCGGUGAAWACGUUUCCCGGGCCUUGUACACACCGCCCGUCACACCAUGAGAGUUUGUAAACACCCAAAGUCGGUGGGGUAACCCUUUUAGGAACCAGCC